CGGCAGUGGCUGGAGUUUUUCGAUGGCGGCACCGGCAGGCCGUUUCCUUGCUGAAGCUUGCUUGCUUUGUACUGUAUUGCGCAGCAGCCAGACAUGCCCAUCCGGCCCGAAAGGAAUCGGCAAGCUGCAGAUUGAUCAAGCUAAUACACAACAACAUUGAUUGUGCUAGGCGUGAUGGAAACGUGAUGCUCGCAGACACUUGUCAAGAUGUGGAAGGAUGGGGACACAAUGGUGAGGAACUUGGGUAUAUGAUUGAUAGACAUGAUCAGAAUAUGCAUGCCACAUUAGGUUGACAUGUAGUGGAGAGGAGCCAAGGUAGGGGUAGUGAAGGGAGGCAUUGGAAGAACAAAGAAGAAGGUUUUUGGCAGGAAAUAAGGCUAAAAAUUCAGUUGGACACAUAGCUUUAGCAAAAAUGAGCUCACCAUUUUCGAGUGUUUACUACAUCCUGGUCAUCUACAAGUACUACAAGACAUCAUAUGUUCGUUGCAUUCACCUUAUUGAAGAUAAUAAACACUUAUUGAGGAACAUGCUAAGGAUGGAGGAACGGACGUCAAGUUCCAGUAUGCAGCUUGUUUCAUUGCUCAGGAUAAUUCAGAAUCUAAAAUUUGAAGGUGAGGUAGAGGAAUAUUGCCAUACCUGAGGGCGUCGCUAUCCGGUUUAUUUUUGCUGUUCGGAUCGCCGCAAGGUGAGUCGAAUCAAUCUCGUACGCCUUAGGCUAUGCCCCAACUUUCUUGAUAUUCGUCGACAUCUUCAUAGUAGGAUCAGAUUUGCUGAUUGUUUUUCAGACUGCAAAAAUCAUUGUAUUUCAUAAAUACUCCAUGUGACUACCCAUUUUUUGUUGGAUAAAAAAUAGACAGUUGGUUUUUGGGUUAUU